GACAGCAUUCUAAUUACAAAUUAGAUCCCACUAUAGUCAUUAAAUUGUUGAAAAAAUGUUGAAUACAAUAAGGCAUGACUAGUGCAAACUCUGGACUGAAUCCUUCCUACACUCUUCUGGCUUUAGAUGUCCAUGGUUCUAAACUUUCAAGGAAGGAAAUGAACAUCACUUGUGAUAUGGAGGAAUGGGUGUUGGAUGCAAAGCAAGACACAUGGCUUCCAGGCAUGACAGGAUUUCUCACAAGCUACAGGACCUGUGACUCCUACCUACAGACUACAAGUGUCUUCAUCUAUGAGGAAUUCAUCACUGGGUUGUUGUGAGGUUAAAAAACACAAUGAAUCUGAAAAAUACUGUAGUCCUUUGAGAAUGAUACCUGUAAAUAUUUUUGAUGGAUAGCCAAAGGAGCUAAAGGAUGCCUCCUUACUAGGAAAUAACUGGAGACACAGGAAUAAAAAUCUGUAACUUUAAGGACAAAGCACCUAAUUGUUGCUGUUCACCCCUCCAAUCCUGCCAUGGUAAUUGCCUGCUAAUGUGGAGGAGGUGCCAUGGACAACUGCACUGGAGAAUGCUAAACCAACACCUGGAGGGAAGUACCAUGAAGAACCCAGAUCCACAGUACAUUUGCAGAAGAGAAAUAAACUCUGUUGUGUUAAGUCA